rnacentral:lncRNA from 1 species
AUAUAUAUAUAUAUAUAAAAUUGAGCUCCUAUAGUUUUCAAUUUUUUUACACCGUUAAACUAGCAAGUGUCUCAUACGUACCGGUCGUUUAAAUUUAUCAAUUUUGAUAUUGUGAGACCCUAAAUAGUCCUAUAUAUAAGAUAUAAUAUGACUAUCACUCUUAACCCGACUUAAACAUUUUGGGUGGUGGUUAGACCCAAGAGAUUAAGAGAGUUAAGCGUGCUAGGACUAGAGUAGUCCUAGGAUGGGUGACCGUUGGAAAGUUGGGGCGUCACAGUUUGUAUCAAAACCAAUUAUUAGCUAGAAGUGUGAGAUGAGUCUCGGUUGAGCCAAGGUCGGAAUGGCAAAGCUAGUAAAACGAGUCUCACAUCGCCUGAUACUUAUGAGUCUGAGCUUGACGAGGACGUCAUGCCUUAAAGAGGGAAGAAAAUUUGAGAUCCCAUAUAGUCCUAUAUAUAAGAUAUAAUAGGGCUAUCACUCUUAACCCGACUUAAGUAUUUUGGAUGGUGGCUAGACUUAAGAGGUUAAGAGAGUUAAGCGUGCUGGGACGAGAGUAGUCCUCGGAUGUGUGACCCCUGGGAAGUUGGGGUGUCACAGAUAUCUUUUGAUCGUAAGUUAAAUGAUGUCGAAAAACCUAUAUUGCAUGCUUUUGAUGUUAGAAAUUUUAU